rnacentral:rRNA from 1 species
CCCUUAGAUGUUCUGGGCCGCACGCGCGCUACACUGAUCAGUGCAACAAGCAUCCGUCCUUGGCCGACAGGCCCGGGCAAUCUUUGAACGCUGGUCGUGAUGGGGAUAGACUUUUGCAAUUUUUGGUCUUCAACGAGGAAUUCCUAGUAAACGCAAGUCAUCAACUUGCAUUGAUUACGUCCCUGCCCUUUGUACACACCGCCCGUCGCACCUACCGAUUGAAUGGUCCGGUGAAGCCUCCGGAUUGGCGCGCACCUCGGUGCCGCCGAGAAGUUGGCUAAACCUUACCAUUUAGAGGAAGGUGAANUCGUAACA